rnacentral:rRNA from 1 species
UACGUAGGGGGCAAGCGUUGUCCGGAUUAUUGGGCGUAAAGAGCGUGUAGGCGGCCAGGUAGGUCCGCUGUGAAAACUCGAGGCUCAACCUCGAGAUGUCGGCGGAAACCAUCUGGCUAGAGUCCGGAAGAGGAGAGUGGAAUUCCUGGUGUAGCGGUGAAAUGCGCAGAUAUCAGGAAGAACACCUAUGGCGAAGGCGGCUCGCUGGGCCAGUUCUGACACUCAUCCGCGAAAGCGUGGGGAGCAAACAGG